UUUCUUUUCUGGUUUUUCUUUUCUCUUUCCAUUUUUCUUCUCCACCGCACGAACUGUGAGUGAUUGAUUCAUGAUUCUUCUGAAAUUUGAAUAAACUUAAUGAAUAAGUGAAUCAAGGAAAGAGUUAAUGAGUCUGUGAAGUUAAUUUUGGUUAGGGUUUCGUGAUGAUUGAAGAAAGAGGAAUCAGUAAAAUUAGGAUUAGGGUUCUAGAAUGGAUUGAAAAUUUUAUAUCAAAUUGAGAAUGAAAUCAAGUAAUGAUGGGUAUUGGGUGUUAAGUUUAAGGUUGAAUUUUUAGUUAUUGAUUUUCAAUUUAAUUCACAUUGAAGAAUCAGUGAGUUAGGGUUCCAACAUGAACUGGAAAUUUGAUUGGUGAUGAAUACGAUGAAAUUGAAAGAUGAUUUUGUUAAAUUGAGGUUUAGAUUCGUAUAAUAAUUGGAUGAACUCCAUCGAUUAGGGUUCUUAAUAGAAAAGAGAAUUCAUGGUUCACGGGUUUGAAACUUAGUUGAAAAAAAAAAGAAAAUUGACGGUUUAGGGAUAUGAUGGAAUCAAGUUGAAGAUUAAGCAAAGGGUGAAUCAUUUGUUUCAAUUUGGAAUUAAUCUGAGAACCUGUUAUAUGGAUAUUAGGUUACUAGUUUGAGAUGAAGUGUAUGUGAGUUGGAUUAGUAAUAUGAUGGGAUGAAGAUGGGUUUGCGUUUUUGUUGUUGUUGAUUAGCUCAAGAAUAUGGAGGUAAGGCUUUCACGGUUUCUGGUGAUACAGUCGUUUUCUCGAAUUACGCGGAUCAAAGACUCUACAAGCAGAUAAUUGGAGAUUCCUUUGCCAUACCAAUUACUCCAGAUUAUGGUGGACCUGUAGUUCAUUAUGCAGAUGGAGUAUUUGAUUUAGGAUCUCAAAGUUAUGUCACAGUAAGGGAAGAUACCCGUGACAGUAGCAUAAAUCCCACCA